UAAGGUGCAUCUAGUGUAGUUA
rnacentral:miRNA from 4 species